rnacentral:rRNA from 1 species
CAUAUUGGGCAAUGGGGGAAACCCGGAUCCAGCCAUCCGGCGAGUAUGAUGUAGGCCUUCGGCUUGUCAAGUACUUUUGGCAGUGAAGAAAAGGUAUCUCCUAAUACGAUACACUGCUGACGGUAUCUGCAGACGAUGGACCGCCUAACUACGUUCCAGCAGCCGCGGUAAUACGUAGGGUGCAAGCGUUAAUCGGAAUUACUGGGCGUAAAGCGUGUGUAGGCAGUUCGGAAAGAAAGAUGUGAAAUCCCAGGGCUCAACCUUGGAACUGAAUUUUUAACUGCCCAGCUAGAGUAUGUCAGAGGGGAGUGGAAUUCCACGUGUAGCAGUGAAAUGCGUAGAUAUGUGGAGGAACACAGAUGGCGAAGGAAGCCCCCUGGGAAAAUACUGACGCUCAGACACGAAAGCGUGGGGAGCAAACAGG